rfam:Oryza nivara chromosome 1, whole genome shotgun sequence.
AAUAAGUGCACUUUUAAACUGUUAACGUUCAACGUUUGACCGUUCGUCUUAUUUGAAAUUUCUUUAUGAUUAGUAUUUUUAUUGCUAUUAGAUGAUAAAACAUGAAUAGUACUAUAUAUAUGUGACUAAAUAUUUUCAAAUUUUUCACAAAUUUUUCAAAUAAGACGAACGGUCAAACGCUGGACACGGAUAUCCACGACUACACUUAUA